AGCAGGAACCUGGAAUUUAGAUCAUCAUCAAGAGUUAAUCAAUCAGUCAAAAGCAUAGCAUGGCUUCUGGCACUAAGCCUAUAUUUGUAAUCUUCAUCAUCUUCUCCAUCCUUUUGUUACUCUUCACUAAUACACCGGCCUUUGCUGCUACUGGAAUUGGAAGAGGCGCUUUGAAUCCUAACAGACCCUUUUGUCCUGUGCCGCCGGGGCAACCUUACAAACGUUGCAAGCACCCGCCCACAAACAAUGUUGCUACCAAACCAAACAUCAAAACAAACAAUUAAAGCCGCCUGCAGUGAAGCAAUCAUGCCUGACAUGCAUGAAUAUAUUGGUGCUGUAGUAAACUAGGAUCAUUAAUUAUGCAUGCAAGCAUGUUGUAUCUACCAGUCACUACAUAUUAUCAUCCUUCCUGUCCUAUGUCUGAAGGCUUGAAUAAAUAAAUAAAUAUGUGGCAAUCUAUGCUUCUAGUUUGUUGAAAGAAGUAGAAUAUUCCUGUGAA